UUGAAUCUGCCACCGGGUAGAAAACAAAAGCAUUUGUUACAUAUCGUUAGGUCUUUGAAGAUAUGUAAAUAAAUGCUUAUUUUUUU
rnacentral:ncRNA from 1 species